rnacentral:rRNA from 1 species
UACAGAGGUCUCAAGCGUUGUUCGGAUUCAUUGGGCGUAAAGAGCUCGUAGGCGGUUUGGUAAGUUGGAUGUGAAAUCUCCAGGCUCAACUUGGAGGGGUCAUUCGAUACUGCCAUGACUAGAGUUCGGUAGGGGGAGUGUGGAAUUCCUGGUGUAGCGGUGAAAUGCGUAGAGAUCAGGAGGAACACCCGGGGCGAAGGCGGCCCUCUGGCUCGACCCUGACGCUGAGGCGCGAAAGCGUGGGGAGCGAACGGG